UGGCGGACGGGUGAGUAACGCGUGGGUAACCUGCCUUGCACUGGGGGAUAACACUUAGAAAUAGGUGCUAAUACCGCAUAAGCGCACGGUCCUGCAUGGGACAGUGUGAAAAACUCCGGUGGUGCAAGAUGGACCCGCGUCUGAUUAGCUGGUUGGCGGGGUAACGGCCUACCAAAGCGACGAUCAGUAGCCGGCCUGAGAGGGCGGACGGCCACACUGGGACUGAGACACGGCCCAGACUCCUACGGAAGGCAGCAG
rnacentral:rRNA from 1 species